rnacentral:lncRNA from 1 species
GUGUGUGUGUGUGUGAGAGAGCAGUGUGUGUGUGUGUGUGUGUGUGUGUGUGAGAGCAGUGUGUUGUUUACGAACCCCCCUGUGAGAGAUCUAACACAGUGAUGUUCCAGCAGGCCUCCUGGACUCUCCUUACACUGCUCAUUCAGAACAACACUAGAGCAUGAGAGUACAUGAUCGUUUCCAGAGGCUUCACUGAACUAUACUGGGUCUAGACACAAGACAGAUGUCCCUGACACCGCCCACAGCUCUGUAACCGGACCGGACCGAACCGAGGAUCACUCCGGACGCUUUUAAACCUCCCAGCAAACAGAGAAACGGACACAGUCCGCGGCGGUGGCCUCAGUGUCCAUAACAACCAGGUCUGCCUGGCGCUCGGGACAGCCCGGGUGCGGGUUACAGUGGACCCAGUGCACUGGAAUCCGAACCCAAACUGGUCUACCGCCGCUGAAGAAGUCUCCGACCACGAGAGGAAAGGCGAGCUCUGAAAAAGAUGCACGCAAGUCGGUACAACUUUCAGCCUCUACAACCCGAGGGUCGCGAAUCACACGAGCAAAGCACGCGGAAUCCCGGCCACCCAGCGGCUCUCGCGCAGCACCCCCCCACACGCGCGAGCUUCACUGAGAUUGCAACAACGCCGCCCGGGUCCGCAGCCUAAACCCGAGCGGGCGGGAGGGAUCCGGACCCCGGGGCUGUGCGACCCGCAGAACUCCGCCAGUGUCGACGCGGAGCCGAGAAGUGGCCACGCAGUAACGCGCGCGCGCCAGCAGCAAGUAUCCCGACAGCUCCUGGCGAUGUCCAGUAUCUCCCGCUGGAGCCUCGGGAUCGCCCAGCCUGCACGCGGAGAUGGCCAAGGCUCUUUCCCAGAGGAAGAGGAAGGAGUUUCGGGACGUCCUGAGAGACAUCGCCGCCCUGCUGCCCCUCCCAGCGCCGGCCGGCAGCCGCUGCCUGUCUCAGAAGGAGAUUCUGCUCCACCUGCUGCGGUACCUGCAGCUGCUGAGGAGGCACAUCGACGACGCGCAGAGCAAGCUGCCGGAGACCUGCGUCCUCGAGAGAGGGUUCUGCAGCCAUGAAGAGGACCCCCCCCCGGAGCCUCUGGCGGAGCCCAGGACGCCCCCCCGCUGCCUGAAGGCCAAACGCAAGAGCGUCUGCGGCCGGCCCCGCAAGAGGCCGGCCCCCGACAGAGGUGCGCGGAGCUGUGUGAGGACGUGCCGGAGAAGAGGCGCAGGCUGUAUGGGGCGCAGAGUGACCUCAGAGACGGACACCCCAACACCCGAUUGGGGUCACUGGCCCUGUGGGAUGAGCGCCCGGAGUGGCCGGCGUUCCAGUCAGGGACAAUCCAGGCACAGGACAGGACAGCACAGGACAGCAGCAGCUCCCUGGACUCAGAGCUGAGCCUCAGUCUGCCUUCCUGGAGGACAGCUCCCUCUGCUGAGACCCCAGGAGGGCAAGAGCCGAGGACCCCUGGGGACAGCAGCUGGUGCUCCGCCUGCGGGGAGAGGACAGGCAGCGAGGAGGACGGCUCCUGC